CAGCCGUAAACUAUGCGCGUUAGGUGUAUCGGUGACCACGAGUUACCGAGGUGCCGAAGGGAAACCGUGAAACGUGCCGCCUGGGAAGUACGGUCGCAAGGCUGAAACUUAAAGGAAUUGGCGGGGGAGCACCACAACAGGUGGAGCCUGCGGUUUAAUUGGACUCAACGCCGGGAAGCUCACCGGAUAGGACAGCAGAAUGAUUGCCGGGCUGAAGACUCUGCAUGACUAGCUGAGAGGAGGUGCAUGGCGUAGACGU
rnacentral:rRNA from 1 species